rnacentral:tRNA from 1 species
GCGAUUGUGGCGAAGUGGUUAACGCACCGGAUUGUGGUUCCGGCAUUCGAGGGUUCGAUUCCCUUCAGUCGCCCCA